UCGUAGGCUGGUCAGGAACUCCUGGCCUCAAGUGAUCCACCCACUUCAGCCUCCCGAAGUGUUGGGACUACAGAUGUGAGCCACGGCGCCCGGCCGAACACAAUGGGUAUUUAUAAAGUCAAUUUUGUUAUGGGGUUGAGAAAGAUAACUUUUAAAAAUAAUGGGAAAAUAUUCUAUGUGUACACAGAGAUAAAGAGUAUGUAGGAUGAUUUUGAAAAUGACGUGCUUAUCAGCCUGGAAUAGUACGGAUUGAUCAGGUGACUAGGGAAAGCAUCCAAUCUCCAAAAAUGUUCUAGAGGAGAGAUAGGAAGAAAAGUUAAUUGACUAGUAAAUGUUCUGUAUUUCAAGUCUAUUACAUAAAAAUUAAGUCCUUAAAAAUUCAGUGAUGUUUCAAAUUAAAUUAGACUAAGUCCCAAUACAGAAACAUUUAAAAUAUAUACACAAGUCUUUGAGACUAUUUGGAUACACCUAGAUAUAUUUUCCUUGUGGCAGAAUGUGGGUCAUGAAAAAUAAUAAUCUUUCAUUUUCAAAGUAGAAAUACACUAAUGCAUAAAUGUAUUGCUUAUAAUGUAUCAGUCUGCAGGGUAUUAUUUUUCUCAUAAUAGGAAAUGGCAGACGUACGUAACUAUAUUCUUCUGGUGUAAAAUGGAACAGAACAAUCUUUUGCAAUUACAAUGCAUAGACUAUACUGGCCCUAGUGCAGGAAGCAUAACAAUUUGCAUAUUUUAAUUUGGAGGUUAGGGACCCCUGUCAAAGUAACAGCUUGGACCAGGUCAGCAAGGAGAAAUUGAGAAGAGAGAAAUAAUUGAAAAGGCAGUUCCCAACAAAAUGAAAUUUGUCUCGUUGUCACUUAAGGUUGUCUUCUUGUCUUUUUGAGAGAGCAAGGUCAGCUUAAGAAUGAAUGGAAAGUAGAGCAUGGUAGAUCACUAAGGACCAAAGGAUAAUUUUUUUAAUAACAGUGGCAAUUGCAAUAUAUAUUUAUGAAGGGAAGAGGAAAAGAAUGCACAUCGCUUUCCAGUUAAGAGUCAGCAGGUGUCCUUUGUGUCAAAAUAUUGCAGAUGUGUACAUGGCUGCUCUAAAGUUUGUCCUCAAAGACAAGCAGGUUACAAAGGAGAUGAAGUACUUAAUGAAAUAAUUUAGUGUGACAUAUUGAUAUUGAAGGCUGGAAGGCAGAAAAGGAUUUGCAACAAAAUUAAGACAACUUACUGUUGAAUUUAAAAAAUGCAUCAUUAGAGUCUCCACCUUUUAACUCAUAUGUUUAAUCAACUUUUAUAGUUAACAACGGUUAUAUCGAAAGGAACAAGAAGUCUUGGAAUGACUGAGCCACUGCCAGCCAGCAACAGAUCUUGCAAACCCAGCCUCUCCUCUCAUCUCUCAGGAACUCAGCUGAUUGAAGAAAGCCACCUGUUCCUAGGCUGCCCGACUUUCUCUGUAAUCAAGAAAUAAUGACCACAUUUGAGAGAAGAACCUCUUUGUUGGUUUUGAUAAGUGCCCUAGGAAUUUGUGGGGCAACCAAACUGAGCAAACUUCAGCUGAAAUGAAUGCCAAGGGCAAAACAGAGGCAUGCUAAUGGCCAGAUUUCAGUUUUCUGUUUUUAAUACCAUCUGCAUCUCUUUUGAUAUUUGAGUUACUACUUCAUGUUACAUAGCUAUAUUUUUUUAAAAGGAUUUUUUUCUUCCCCUUUGGAGUUUCAGCUUUUUGUUAAGAAAAUCUUUUAAGGGAGGAUGUUCCAGCAGUAUUAGGUUGGUGCAAAAGUCAUUGUGGUUUUUGCCUCUCCUUUCAAUGAAAAAAACCACAACGACUUUUGCACCAACUUUAAUAACAGUGACUUGUGGAAAGGGUUUGUGUGAGGAGUCAGCAGCAGACUGGACACUAGGACAUGACCUAGGUUUGGCCAAUUAGAUGUUUCAGCCUGGGAAUUUUUAUCUGGAGCCAGUGAUGCAGAGAGAGAGAGAGAGAGAGAGAGAGAGAGAGAGAGACAGAUUUAAAAUGUGUUUAUAGCUCUCAAGGUGUCCAGUGAGGGUGCAGCAUCCAGCAGCAUCAGUGUUCCAUGACUGCCGAAGUGACAGCUCAGCAGGGUAUCUCUGCUAAAAAGCAGUUGUUGUUCUCGCUUCUUUUGCUACCAAGUUCUCAUUCUUUCCAUCUAUUUCCUAAGUCUGAUUGUCCAGCCUGCCGUAGAUUCUGUGCGCCCCAUUAUCUUUCCAGUAAAUAUUUUUCUAUUUAAAUUAGCCGGAGUCACUUUCUGCUACCUGCGACCAAGGAUCCUGUCUGAUACAUAUGAGAUGAGAAGAGUAUGGUCAUUAGAAUAAGAAGUGAUCAUUUUAAUUCCAAGCUUGGGAAUAUUCCUUGGGAAAAUUUCUGCAGUUUUACAAUGUAUGUGGAAUUAUCAUCUGGAGGAUAAACAUGAGAUUGGAGAUAAAUAUUAGAAGACUCAACUGUAGGGUACUGUAAAAAGUUGAUGGGGCUUUUGAGUUGUAAGAGUAAAUAUACUUUUCUAGAGCUUCUUAAAAUUAAAUAAAUGCUUAUUUUUUUCUAAAGUAAGGUGGACGCAAUCCUCCUUUGAAGCCAAAGCUCCUGUUUGCAAUCUUUCAUACAUAACGUGUGUUAGAGGCUCUUAACAAUAACGCUUAAUAUGAGAAUUACUGCUCUUUUUUUUUGCCUUAUUAUUGGAUUGAAAGUCUUAUCUUCUUCUGAUUAUUUGAAUCUGGGUCAGGUAUUCUCCACUAUUGCAGGAUUGAGGGAAGCAAGUAAUAGCCACUCUAUCUUUGGAAUGUUCCGGCCCCUUUAUCAAUCACUUAGGCGACCUAGUUACAAAGGAUUCCUCUCUGGGACACCUAGACUUUGAGGAACCCCAAAGGAAAGAAAAUAAAAGCAUCUAAAGCGGGCUUUUUUUGUUGUGUGAGGGCUGUAGCAAGUGAAUGGGGGGAGUUUUAAGCAGUUGUCUGGUUAGACAGAGCUAGUUAAAUAAGAAGAGUUGGUGAAGCCCGUGGGAGUCAAACCCUUCUCUCUAUAGUUUUCCUUUGUAAAGGAUAAAGCUAGGGUUGAGUGAACCCAGAAGCUUUUUCCUGUCAGGAGGGAAUUAGAACAAAGAUUUUCUUUAAAGACAGUGUGCUUAGUACUGUCUAGUGACAGAUGAAUCUCAAAAGACUCAGUUGUGAUAAAGCCCCAAUGUGUAGAUUCUCAGUGGAAGCACAGAGUAACUUCCUAAACUUUUCUCUACUUGUCCUUUGUUCUGCUGACACCUAAUUUCCUGUUUCUGGCUCUGUUCCCUCAUUUUAAUCCCAUCUGGCCCUUUACCUGGAAGUAUUCUUAGGGGAAAAAAAACCAGGUUGUCCCCCUUCUGAAAAUAAAUAUAAGUACAAGUUGUCAAACAACCAUCAUUUCAAAAUAGAGUGGCACUGUGUUGAAAUGGUCAGAAGAUUUGGAGUUCUUAUUCAGCAAUAGACUUUCUGCUUGAUUGAAACUUUCUGAGUUCCUUUUUCUGAGAUACUAAUAUUUACUUACAUUACAGGAAUUCUGGGGCAAAUAAAUAAUAGGAGCUAGAAAAUCAUUUAAAAUAUCCAAUGCUCCAAGAAUGGUAAAUGUGAUGAAAACUUUUCUGUACACUUGCAAGGAACAACUCUUUUCACUUGUCUAUAGUCACUCCAUUGAUUCCAGCUUAUCCUCAGCACCAGACUACCAGGUUCCAUGCAUUUCUAUUGUUGCCACCUGUUUCCCUAUAGAUCCUGAGUUAUUUUGUUGACUUCUUAUUAUGACUUGUAUUUGACGUGAAAUUUUACUCAGUGCAAAUAAAUUUUUAUUACCUUAUUCUAAUAUACAA